CAGCUCCCCACGCCUGGACUAAGAGGUCCAUCCUUGGGGCUGAGGCUGGGGGCAGGGUGGAGCCUUGCCUGUGGUGAGAGUCCCUCUCUCUGUCCCCCCUACCCCAGAGUUUUACAAAGAAUUGGCCUGGGUCCCUGAGGCACAAAGGAAACACACAGCCAAGAAGGCGCCCGACGGCACUGUCAUCCCCAACGGCUACUGUGACUUCUGUCUGGGGGGCUCCAAGAAGACGGGGUGUCCCGAGGACCUCAUCUCCUGUGCAGACUGUGGGCGAUCAGGACACCCCUCGUGUUUACAAUUCACGGUGAACAUGACGGCAGCCGUGCGGACCUACCGCUGGCAGUGCAUCGAGUGCAAAUCCUGCAGCCUGUGCGGAACCUCCGAGAACGACGACCAGCUGCUGUUUUGUGAUGACUGCGAUCGGGGUUACCACAUGUACUGCCUGAGUCCCCCCAUGGCGGAGCCCCCGGAAGGGAGCUGGAGCUGUCACCUCUGUCUCCGGCACCUGAAGGAAAAGGCUUCUGCUUACAUCACCCUCACCU
rnacentral:sRNA from 1 species